CAGCAGCCGCGGUAAUACGAAGGUCCCAAGCGUUAUUCGGAAUCACUGGGCGUAAAGGGAGCGUAGGCGGCGUGGUAAGUCAGAUGUGAAAUCCCGGGGCUCAACCCCGGAACUGCAUCCGAUACUGCCAUGCUAGAGGAUUGGAGAGGUUGCUGGAAUUCUUGGUGUAGCAGUGAAAUGCGUAGAGAUCAAGAGGAACACUCGUGGCGAAAGCGAGCUACUGGACAAUUCCUGACGCUGAGGCUCGAGGGCUAGGGUGGCGAAAGGGAUUAGAUACCCCUGUAGUCCUAGCAGUAAACGGUGCACGCUUGGUGUGAGGGGAAUCGACCCCCCUUGUGCCGGAGCUAACGCGUUAAGCGUGCCGCCUGGGAAGUACGGUCGCAAGACUAAAACUCAUAGAAAUUGACGGGGAUCCGCACAAGCGGUGGAGUAUGUG
rnacentral:rRNA from 1 species